UACAGAGGUCCCGAGCGUUGUUCGGAUUCACUGGGCGUAAAGGGUGCGUAGGUGGUGAGGUAAGUCGGAUGUGAAAUCUCCGGGCCCAACCCGGAAAUGGCAUUGGAAACUACCUUGCUAGAGGAUUUGAGGGGGGAUUGGAAUACUUGGUGUAGCAGUGAAAUGCGUAGAUAUCAAGUGGAACACCAGUGGCGAAGGCGAAUCCCUGGAAAAUACCUGACACUGAGGCACGAAAGCUAGGGGAGCAAACAGG
rnacentral:rRNA from 1 species